CCUACGGGUGGCAGCAGUGAGGAAUAUUGGUCAAUGGGCGCGAGCCUGAACCAGCCAAGUCGCGUGAGGGAAGACGGUCCUAUGGAUUGUAAACCUCUUUUGUCGGGGAGCAAAAGACGCCACGCGUGGCGUUCCGAGAGUACCCGAAGAAAAAGCAUCGGCUAACUCCGUGCCAGCAGCCGCGGUAAUACGGAGGCUGCGAGCGUUAUCCGGAUUUAUUGGGUUAAAAGGGUGCGCAGGCGGAAGAUCAAGUCAGCGGUAAAAUUGAGAGGCUCAACCUCUUCGAGCCGUUGAAACUGGUUGUCUUGAGUGAGUGAGAAGUAUGCGGAAUACGUGGUGUAGCGGUGAAAUGCAUAGAUAUCACGCAGAACUCCGAUUGCGAAGGCAGCAUACCGGCGCUCAACUGACGCUCAUGCACGAAAGUGUGGGUAUCGAACAGGAUUAGAUACCCCUGUAGUC
rnacentral:rRNA from 1 species